rnacentral:rRNA from 1 species
GAUGAACGCUGGCGGCGUGCUUAACACAUGCAAGUCGAACGGUGAAGGCGGAGCUUGCUCUGCUGGAUCAGUGGCGAACGGGUGAGUAACACGUGAGCAAUCUGCCCCUGACUCUGGGAUAAGCGCUGGAAACGGCGUCUAAUACUGGAUACGAGCUGCGAAGGCAUCUUCAGCAGCUGGAAAGAACUUCGGUCAGGGAUGAGCUCGCGGCCUAUCAGCUUGUUGGUGAGGUAACGGCUCACCAAGGCGUCGACGGGUAGCCGGCCUGAGAGGGUGACCGGCCACACUGGGACUGAGACACGGCCCAGACUCCUACGGGAGGCAGCAGUGGGGAAUAUUGCACAAUGGGCGAAAGCCUGAUGCAGCAACGCCGCGUGAGGGACGACGGCCUUCGGGUUGUAAACCUCUUUUAGCAGGGAAGAAGCGAAAGUGACGGUACCUGCAGAAAAAGCGCCGACUAACUACGUG